rnacentral:rRNA from 1 species
CCUACGGGUGGCAGCAGUAGGGAAUAUUGCACAAUGGGGGAAACCCUGAUGCAGCGACGCCGCGUGAAGGAAGAAGUUUCUCGGUUUGUAAACUUCUAUCAGCAGGGAAGAAAAUGACGGUACCUGACUAAGAAGCCCCGGCUAACUACGUGCCAGCAGCCGCGGUAAUACGUAGGGUGCAAGCGUUAUCCGGAUUUACUGGGGGUAAAGGGAGCGUAGACGGAAGAGCAAGUCUGAUGUGAAAGGCUGGGGCUUAACCCCAGGACUGCAUUGGAAACUGUUUUUCUAGAGUACGGGAGAGGUAAGUGGAAUUCUUGGUGUAGGGGUGAAAUGCGUAGAUAUCAGGAGGAAUACUAGUGGCGAAGGCGGCUUACUGGACGGUAACUGACGCUGAGGCGCGAAAGCGUGGGGAGCAAACAGGAUUAGAUACCCGGGUAGUC